rnacentral:rRNA from 1 species
AUACGGAGGGUGCAAGCGUUAAUCGGAAUUACUGGGCGUAAAGCGCGCGUAGGCGGUUUGCCAAGUCAGGCGUGAAAGCCCCGGGCUCAACCCGGGAAUUGCGCUUGAUACUGGCAGGCUAGAGGCCGGGAGAGGGUAGUGGAAUUCCCAGUGUAGAGGUGAAAUUCGUAGAUAUUGGGAAGAACACCGGUGGCGAAGGCGGCUACCUGGACCGGUACUGACGCUGAGGUGCGAAAGCGUGGGGAGCAAACAGGAUUAGAUACCCCGGUAGUCC